UAACUCGAUUUAUUUCACGUCAUCAGUCCCGAACACACCGACUGCGUAAUUGCGUCUAUGCUGCAUAACAUUUUGCACAGCUAGGCGACUAUACUGAUGCAGGUAUCUUUUGCAGACGGUUGGACACAUGGAGGGGAGAAUCAUGUAAUGGUUUGGCUUAUCAUGUCUAUGUAGAAGAAGACUGUAGGAGGAUGUGGAGAGGACUCAGGGACAGGUAUCAGAGAGAGAGAAGGGCGGAGAAAGAUAAGAGGUCUGGGUCAGCAGCUUCAGGCCACCAGCCUUCUGCCACAUUCUUUCUUUUCUGGAUCCAUUUAUUGUGCCUCGGGCAACGAGUGACAAUUUUACAGCCAGACCCAUCACGUCAUCCACAAGUGUGGGCGCCACUGGUGCAUCAAGGCCCUCAACGUCAUUUACAAGUGAGACCCUCUACAACGUCUACAUCAUCGUUCAUCUCUGCUGUGUGACCAUCACCGGUGCAGCGAGACCCUCUACAAUGUCUACAUCUUCGUUCAUCUCCGCUGUGUGACCACCACCGGUGCAGCGAGACCCUCUACAACGUCUACAUCGUCGUUCAUCUCCGCUGUGUGACCACCACCGGUGCAGCGAGACCCUCUACAAUGUCUACAUCGUCGUUCAUCUCCGCUGUGUGACCACCACCGGUGCAGCGAGACCCUCUACAAUGUCUACAUCGUCGUUCAUCUCCGCUGUGUGACCACCACCGGUGCAGCGAGACCCUCUACAACGUCUACAUCAUCGUUCAUCUCUGCUGUGUGACCACCACCGGUGCAGCGAGACCCUCUACAUCGUCGUUCAUCUCUGCUGUGUGACCACCACCGGUGCAGCCAUGGAAGAUGAUGAAAUGGAGGAAGCACCUCUGGAUCUGAGAUUGUGACCCUCGAGGAAUCAAGGAAAUGCAACUGAGAUUUUCCAACUGUCCUUAUUCCGCUUACUAUGUCCUUAUUAGUAGUUUCUCAAUACAUAGGAUAGCAUUCAUUGUUAGUUGUACAUAGAUUGCGUGAAAAUUGACACUGAUGCGCUCGUUUUUUUUUUUUUUUUUUUACAAGACUAAAGGUGAAAUGUGUGUUUACCUGUAUUGUGGCUACACAUUCACACAUUCACAGAUUUUUUCAGACUCGCACACACCUCUCCUCCACUCCUCUCUGUACCUCAGAUCUCCAGUGCCCUGCCCUUUCCAUCUUUAUGGCCAUGUCUGAAGUUCCCCUACUACGUCUAGGCUUUGAGUAGUCCCUGUAUCUGUUUUCAGUUGUGCCAAAAAUACAUGCUCUUGUUGUUCUUACAGAUUACACAUUCAUUUUAGUAUUUUACACACACACACACACACUUUCAAUAGUUUUUAUUUUUUGUAACAUUUUUACAACACACAUACCUGUCAUGUUCUUUCCUGUACUUGAAUACUUAUUAAUUCUAAUGUUUUCAUAGUCAGUUUCAUGUGUUUAUUAAUAUCUCAUUUAGACUUAAUCUCUUUUUCUUCCCUACAUCUUUGCAGAUCUAAGACUAGAUGAAAGUAAAAACAUUCUCUUCCCAAUAGUUUUUUUCCCCACCUGCAUUUUGUCAGACCAGUGAAGAUGAUGGUAUUUGUAUGGACCCUAGGUUACCUUUUCCCAUUGUUAUCAUACCAACUGUAUGUCCUAUAACCUCAAUUAGAGGUCCUGCUCACCUGAUGUUAAUGGGAGAGGGGAAGGGGAAGGGUUUAAGGUGUGGUCUUUACUCCCAAAUUUCACUUAAACAUAACUUCCAAAUGAAGAGAGACAAGGAGACAUAAAAUAAUCUGUGUGGGGGGGAAUACAAUGGUGGAUGGUUCUUAAAAUAACCUUUGUGUUAUGGGGCUCUUAAUUAAAAGAGCCGUUUCACUCCACGGCAUACUGCCAUGGGACUUCACCUGCUGGCGAUGAGAAGUAGGUGGUCAGCUUCUCCCUCACCUGGAGUGCCUGUCUGGGGGCGUUGUUGGCACCUGCCCUGGUGACAUCAGGUAGGUGACCAUUUGGCGUGCCCAUCUCCAUCCCGGAACGGGACCUGGAAUGACCCUUUUUCUUUUUUUUCUUUUCUUUACCUGUGUAAUGAUUUAUUGCAGCAAACACAGGAGACAAGCAAUUUUGCGUAGUCCUAAACAAAAGAAACUCCAACAUCCAAUAAAUUGUCUUUUCAAAAUAUGCUACA